rnacentral:lncRNA from 1 species
UUUUUCUUCUUUCCUUCUAUAUUGUAUCUCUGAAUAAGACACACAAAAUCAACUACUGUUUUUUUCAGAUGACUCACAGACAGCUCUCCUUCAUAUUUCUCUCUUGUUCUACAAACUGAAAAUACUCGACUAUUACACUAUAUGUUUUUAAAGACACGUUUGAGAGAUGGAGACUGCUGAAAAACUGCUGAAGAAUGACGUCUUCACUGCAUGGAGAAGUCCAGAGGUGCCUUGCACGGACAUCAUCUAUACAGAGAAUAAUUUUAAAAUGUUCUCAAUGUGAAGAUGCCGAGGAGGAAAAGCCUAGGAGCAGAGUGGAACCCAUUGUCUGGCAGAGGAAGAGGGAUUGUAUCCAGGUUGUUGUUCCAACAGGCUUUGAGAGGUGAGAGAUGUUCUUGUCUUCUGACGACCUCAGCAGUCUACUUCAGCAGCACACAGCAAGUCACAAAGCAGAUUGUAGAAAUCUCUUUCCUGCAGCUGAGACAUGGGAAUUUCUUUGGACAUCAAAGCAAAGGUUUAUUGAAAUCUUACCCUUGCACAUCAUUUUAUCUUCUACUGAAAGAGGUGACAAACAACAGGGCCCACUGUGGAGGUCACUGAGGAAAUGAUGCUGAGAAUUCACUGGACAGACAAAGUCUUUGAUGCAGCUGAAGAAAGAUUGGAGCUAAUGAGAUUAAAGAUCAGAUGCACCAGGAUGAGUUUGGCUCAGUCAAGGAUUUCUCAUACCAAAGAUCUGACUACAAAGCAAAAUACUUUCUGGAGAAACAUCACACAGCCCGGAGUUGUCUGAAUCUGCUGUUCUCAUGUGUUUCUUUGCCAUUUCAGAGAAGCACAAAUACUGGAUCCAUGAAACUUCAGAUGUCUUUGUGAUGUCUUAUUCCUCUACCUUUCACUAACAGGUCAUCAACUUCCCUGGGCCUAUGAGCACUCAAACCUGUGUUUUACGUGACCAAAGGAAAAGUAUGUUCCUCUCUUCUCCACACAGGGACUGUUUUAAGGGAAGGCUCCACCCCCAAGAUGGUGCAGCCUAUUCACUACUGAUGUCCCAGCACUUGGAAAACCACCAAAGACAUCUGCGAGAGAAGGAGGAAAUUAUCCACUCAAAAAAUGCAGUUGCAUUAGUGAUAGGACAGGGCAUCAGACAAUGUCUUACCACAUUACACAGUAAUUCUAGAGAGAGUUGCACUGCACCCUGAGUUGAUGCUUUCCCUGGAUAGGCCCAAGUUUUCACUUAUGAAAUUUCCAAUGUCCAAAUGACACAAUGUAAUCUGUAAUAAGCAGGUAACUCUGAUUAAAACAAAGAGAAAUAAAACUUCAGUCGACUGGCAGGGCUAUGUAAUCUUGGUUUUUAAGUAGGGAUUGCACAUACACCCAGUGGUCUUUUUAAUGCUUUUCAGCUGCUGAAGAUUUCAACUGAAAUUUCUGUAAUAACUUGUGUGUUUGUAUGUGUUCAGUAUAUGUAUGCACAGGAUGGGGGUUUAAGAGAACAAAUUCUUAUAAAGCAAGA